GAUCAAUUUAACUACCUUUUGGAGGUUCGAAACAACGGUUUCAACCAUUAAAUACUUACAGGAUGACAAUCGCAGGCCCUUAACGCAGUAGGGAAGGGGGGGGAACAGCACAUCCACAUUAUAUAUAUAGAGAUAUUUUCUUCUCUCUUCAGAUACCUUGACAAACAAUCAACUGCGCUCCACCCAGGAAUUGCCGCUUACCGCUCUCAACCCCCGUCCCUUUUAGCGAGGGGGGUAGUUAUCAAUAAGUCGGGGUGGGGUGUCUGUCAUUAAUUGCAAUUUACUCUCUAUAAAUCCCCAACCAUUGUCAGCACGAAUUGUUGAGCCAAUUAAUAAAUAAACCAUGUAUCCACACAGCAGUUAGUGGAGUGAACUAGUUAACUGACUGCUGUCUUCAAUGGUCUGAAAUCGUCGAUGAUAUAGUUACAACAAUCCACAUCUUCUAAGCUAUUCUCUCUCUCUCUCUUUCUCUCCUUCUCCUCGAUCGGGAAAUCCUUCCAGAUGCUUCCAAUUCCACGCCAAACCGUAUGCGGCGGUGGUACCUGGAUCCAACCUCAAUCCGGACUAGCGUCGCCAGGGGCACGUUCCAAUCGGGC
rnacentral:sRNA from 2 species